GACUAACGCUGGCGGCGUGCCUAACACAUGCAAGUCGAACGAAGCAGCAAUGCUUAGUGGCAGACGGGUGAGUAACGCGUAGAUAAUGUGCCCUCUUGCGGGGGAUACCGUUUCGAAAGGAACGUUAAUACCGCAUAAAGUCCUUAGGAGGCAUCUCCCUAGGACCAAACUUCCGGGGCGGGAGGAGCAAUCUGCGUACUAUCAGCUAGUUGGUGAGGUAAUGGCUCACCAAGGCUACGACGGUUAACUGGUCUGAGAGGAUGAUCAGUCACACUGGAACUGAGACACGGUCCAGACUCCUACGGGAGGCAGCAGUGAGGAAUAUUGCGCAAUGGGCGAAAGCCUGACGCAGCGACGCCGCGUGGAGGAUGAAGGAUUUCGGUCUGUAAACUCCUGUCAGUAGGGAAGAGAAUGGACGGUACCUACUGAGGAAGCUUCGGCUAACUACGUG
rnacentral:rRNA from 1 species